rnacentral:rRNA from 1 species
UACGGAAGGUCCGGGCGUUAUCCGGAUUUAUUGGGUUUAAAGGGAGCGCAGGCUGAUGCUUAAGCGUGACGUGAAAUGCCGCGGCUCAACCGUGGAAGUGCGUCGCGAACUGGGUAUCUUGAGUGAGUUCGACGUGUGCGGAAUUCGUGGUGUAGCGGUGAAAUGCUUAGAUAUCACGAAGAACCCCGAUUGCGAAGGCAGCGCACGAGGCCUCAACUGACGCUAAAGCUCGAAGGUGCGGGUAU